rnacentral:rRNA from 1 species
AACUUAAGGAAUUGACGGGGCCCGCACAAGCGGUGAGUAUGUGGUUUAAUUCGAUGCAACGCGAAGAACCUUACCUGGUCUUGACAUCCCGGAGACCCUUAGGAAACUAGGGGGUGCUUCCAUCUGGAAGAAUCUGGAGACAGGUGCUGCAUGGCUGUCGUCAGCUCGUGUCGUGAGAUGUUGGGUUAAGUCCCGCAACGAGCGCAACCCUUGCCUUUAGUUGCCAGCAGUUCGGCUGGGCACUCUAAAGGGACUGCCGGUGUUAAACCGGAGGAAGGUGGGGAUGACGUCAAGUCCUCAUGGCCUUUAUGACCAGGGCUACACACGUACUACAAUGGCCGAUACAAAGGGUUGCCAAGCCGCGAGGUGGAGCUAAUCCCAUAAAACCGAUCGUAGUCCGGAUCGCAGUCUGCAACUCGACUGCGUGAAGUCGGAAUCGCUAGUAAUCGUGAAUCAGAAUGUCACGGUGAAUACGUUCCCGGGCCUU